AACGAACGCUGGCGGCGUGCCUAACACAUGCAAGUCGAACGGGAAAACCCGCAAGGGUGAGUACAGUGGCGCACGGGUGCGUAACACGUGGGUAAUCUGCCCAGAAGCCCGGAAUAACUCCCCGAAAGGGGUGCUAAUGCCGGAUGAGACCACGGGGACUUCGGUUCCUGGGGGAAAAGGUGGCCUCUGUAUACAAGCUAUCACUUCUGGAUGAGCCCGCGGCCCAUCAGCUAGUUGGCGGGGUGAUGGCCCACCAAGGCUACGACGGGUAGCUGGUCUGGGAGGGCGAUCAGCCACACGGGAACUGAGACACGGGCCAGACUCCUACGGGAGGCAGCAGUGGGGAAUCUUUCGCAAUGGGCGAAAGCCUGACGCAGCAACGCCGCGUGUGUGAUGAAGGUCUUCGGAUCGUAAAGCACUGUCGGGAGGGACGAAUAAGGGCCGGGUGAACAAUCCGGUUCGACGACGGUACCUCCAGAGGAAGCACCGGCUAACUCUGUGCCAGCCGCCGCGGUAAAAC
rnacentral:rRNA from 1 species